AACCGCCGUAUGCGGACCCGCAUGUACGGUGGUGUGAGAGGUCAGGGGCUAGCCGCCCCUAUCUACUCGAU
rnacentral:ncRNA from 1 species